AAACCACCCCCUAAGUUUUGCAACUGUAGCAGUUUUGACCCCAAGAUCAAUUUUUUAUAAAAAAAAUUACACGUGGCACCUCACUUAGGGUGCCACGUCAGCGUAGACAGAGUCAAAAUUGACCUUGAGGGACAAAACUGCCACAAAUGCAAAACUUAGGGGGUGGUUU
rnacentral:pre_miRNA from 1 species